GGGUGGGGAUUUGUUGCAUUACUUGAUCAUGUGACUAUAAGAGUAUUGCACUUGUCCCGGCCUGU
ensembl:miRNA mdo-mir-92a-2 mdo-mir-92a-2